rnacentral:lncRNA from 1 species
CCUAAUGUUAGUUGCUGGUAUAUUCACUUUUAGUGAACACUGCUGAGCUAUGUGAGACAGAAGCAUUCGGUUCUCGAAAAUCUGGAGCAAUAAUCCAAGGUUUUCAGAAUUUUAUUUUGUAAUGCUAGCUUCAAAUUUCAAAAGUUAUUUUGUUCUUUUAUUCAAUCUGUGGAAAAUGUUAGUUGCUGGUAUAUUCACUUUUAGUGAACACUGCUGAGCUAUAUGAGACAGAAGCAUUCGGUUCUCUGAAAAUCUGGAGCAAUAAUCCAAGGUUUUCAGAAUUUUAUUUUGUAAUGCUAGCUUCAAAUUUCAAAAGAUUGAUAACUUGGCUAUACAUGUAUCAUCAGUAUGGUACAUGUCAACAUUUAUUCUGACUUGUGCAGAGCAUGAAGAAUAUACAAGGAAGCAGACGACAGGAAAAUACACACGGAGUAGCUCAAUAGAUCAGCACCAGUGGCUAUAGGGACCAUCUUGCUCCUCUCGAACAUCUUGACUAGAAGGAUCAUAACAAUUACAUGUCCAACUUUGGUUUUAAGUUCAUCAAGCGAACUGAUCUUCAUCCAUUUUGGCCUCUCCUGCAU